CUCCACUGUUCUCUCUCUCUCCUCUCCUCUCUCUCUCCUCCUUCUCUCUCUUCUCUCUCCAACUGUUACUCUCUCUCUCUCCUCUCCUCUCUCUCUCCUCCUUCUCUUCUCUCUCUCCCUCUCUUCUCUCUCUCUCUCCUCUCCUCUCUCUCUCCUCCUUCUCUUCUCUCCUCUCUCCACUGUUCGCUCUCUCUCUCUCCUCCUUCUCUUCUGUCUCUCUCUCUCCACUGUUCUCUCUCUCUCUCUCCUCCUUCUCUUCUCUCUCUCUCCACUGUUCUCUCUCUCUCUCCUCUCCUCUCUCUCUCCUCCUUCUCUUCUCUCUCUCUCCACUGUUCUCUCUCUCUCUCCUCCUUCUCUUCUCUCUCUCUCCCCACUGUUCUCCUCCCUCAGCAGAGGAGGAUCAACACACACAUCUGUGCCCUCUCUGACCUCCCUCCCAUCAAGAACAACACACACACACACACACACACACACACACACACACACACACACACACACACCAACACACCAACACAACACAGACACAGACACAACACGACACACACACAGACACAGCACAACACAGACACACACACACACACACAACCACACACACACACAGACACACACACACACCAACGACACAGACCACAGACACAGACACACACACAGACACAGACACACACACAGACACACACAGACACACACACAGACAGACACACACACACACACACCACACACACACAGACACACACACACACACACACACACACACACACACACACACACACACACACCAACACACAGACACAGACACAGACACAGACACAGACACAGACACACACACACACACAGACACACAGACAGACACAGACACAGACACAGACACAGACACAGACACAGACACACACACACACACACACAGACACACAGACACACAGACACGCCCUCUCUGACCUCCCUCCCCAUCAGAACAACACAGACACAUACACACACACACACACACAGACACACACACACAAACACACACACACACACACACAUUAAGUCACCUUAAUCCGCACACAAA
rnacentral:lncRNA from 1 species